CGGGUGAGUAACGCGUGAGGAACCUGCCUCAAAGAGGGGGACAACAGUUGGAAACGACUGCUAAUACCGCAUAAGCCCACGGCUCGGCAUCGAGCAGAGGGAAAAGGAGUGAUCCGCUUUGAGAUGGCCUCGCGUCCGAUUAGCUAGUUGGUGAGGUAACGGCCCGCCAAGGCAACGAUCGGUAGCCGGACUGAGAGGUUGAACGGCCACAUUGGGACUGAGACACGGCCCAG
rnacentral:rRNA from 1 species